GGAGGUAGUGACAAUAAAUCACAAUGCGGGACUAUACGUCUUGCAAUUGGAUUGAGAACAACGUACAAACCUUAUCGAUAAACAAUUGGAGGGCAAGUCUGGUGCCAGCAGCCGCGGUAAUUCCAGCUCCAAUAGCGUAUAUUAACGUUGUUGCAGUUAAAAAGCUCGUAGUUGAAGUGUGGGUGAUCGCUGUUGUGAGACUUCGGUCUCUCGAUAGUAAGUCACCCCCUUCCAGUAUCCAGUAGUGGGUAUUCAGUUACUUACUAUUGUGUGUUGGUCCUUUACUGUGAGAAAAUUAGAGUGUUCAAAGCAGGCGUUUGCUUGAAUAGAUUAGCAUGGAAUAAUAAUUGAAGGCUUUCGUGUUCGAUUUGAUUGGUUUGUUCAUGGAAGCAAGGUUAAAAGGAACAGUUGGGGGUACUCAUAUUCACUAGUUAGAGGUGAAAUUCUCGGAUUUAUGGAAGAUGAACAAGUGCGAAAGCA
rnacentral:rRNA from 1 species